GACGGACCGUACGAACGUUAUUCGGAAUUACUGGGCUUAAAGGGUGCGUAGGCGGCUCAGAAAGUUGAAUGUGAAAGCCCUCGGCUUAACCGAGGAAUUGCAUCCAAAACUACUGGGCUUGAGUGAGACAGAGGUGAGCGGAACUCACGGUGGAGCGGUGAAAUGCGUUGAUAUCGUGAGGAACACCGGUGGCGAAAGCGGCUCUCUGGGUAUCUUCUGACGCUGAGGGACGAAAGCUAGGGGAGCGAACGGG
rnacentral:rRNA from 1 species